CCUAAGGGUGGCUGCAGUGGGGAAUAUUGGACAAUGGGCGAAAGCCUGAUCCAGCCAUGCCGCGUGUGUGAAGAAGGCCUUCGGGUUGUAAAGCACUUUCAGUGGGGAAGAAAGCCUUGGGGCUAAUACCCUCGAGGAAGGACAUCACCCACAGAAGAAGCACCGGCUAACUCCGUGCCAGCAGCCGCGGUAAUACGGAGGGUGCGAGCGUUAAUCGGAAUUACUGGGCGUAAAGCGCGCGUAGGCGGUCUGAUAAGCCGGUUGUGAAAGCCCCGGGCUCAACCUGGGAACGGCAUCCGGAACUGUCAGGCUAGAGAGCAGGAGAGGAAGGUAGAAUUCCCGGUGUAGCGGUGAAAUGCGUAGAGAUCGGGAGGAAUACCAGUGGCGAAGGCGGCCUUCUGGACUGACACUGACGCUGAGGUGCGAAAGCGUGGGUAGCAAACAGGAUUAGAUACCCCAGUAGUC
rnacentral:rRNA from 1 species